CGGGGAUGUGCGAUCUGUCUGCUUUGACUCACAGUUCCUUUUUCUUCUGGGGAAGAAAUCUGGAUAAAAGAAGGACUGAUGUUAGAAAUAAUAAUAACAAAAAUAACAACAACAACAAUAAUAUUAAUUUGAACCCCUGUAGUCCAACUGGGGACAGUGGAGGCCAACAGUGAUUAUCAUUGUAUUUAUUCCCGUUUUACAAGCAUAGUGGGACCUCUGUUCAACAUCCACAUGGGCAUUUACACACAAUACACAAUUUGGGAAUGCCAAUCAGUCUAAUCUGCAUGUCUUUUUUAUGUGUAAGGAAACCGGAGUAUCCGGAGGAAACGCACCAAGGAUGGGGAGAACAUGCAAACUCCAUGCACACAGACCCCGAGGCGGGACUCAAACACAGACCCAGGAUGUGCAAGGCGACAGUUCUAACCACUAAGCCACCGUGUGGCCUAUGUCAUUUAUGUAUAUAUUUUCAAUUGUAAUUAUUAAUUGUUUGCUUAAACAUUAGGGCAUUUUAAGCUUGAUCCCAGGUUAUAAGCUACAAGGAGUUGCAGACUUUAUGAACAUGUUCUUGUGGGUUCCUUCUGGAUUCUCCAGUUCCCUUUUACCUUAAAUAAACAUGCCAGUAGGUAGACAUGCAAAUCU